GAUGCCCCUUCCAGGACAGGAACAUCUCGGACCACAGCUGCUGCAGAUGGAUGGUUCAAAACUCAAGAGUCUUGGGGUUACCAAUGGCAAAGAUCGCGGAACUACUCAAGAAGAAGAUCAAGGAGCUUAAAGCUGCCAUUGAGAAAGAGAAGAAACAGCAGGAGAAGGAGAGGAAGGCACGAGAGAAGGAACAGAAGAAACAGA